rnacentral:rRNA from 1 species
CAGCAGCCGCGGGAAUACGCAGGGUGCGAGCGUUAAUCGGAAUUACUGGGCGUAAAGCGUGCGCAGGCGGUUGUGUAAGACAGGUGUGAAAUCCCCGGGCUUAACCUGGGAACUGCGCUUGUGACUGCACAGCUAGAGUAUGGCAGAGGGGGGUGGAAUUCCACGUGUAGCAGUGAAAUGCGUAGAGAUGUGGAGGAACACCGAUGGCGAAGGCAGCCCCCUGGGCCAAUACUGACGCUCAUGCACGAAAGCGUGGGGAGCAAACAGGAUUAGAUACCCGCGUAGUCCCUGUCUCUUAUAA